CUGCAAACAUCCUCGCUCUUUAGGUCUGCUAGGAAUUGAGACAGGCGAACUAUGUUAAAGCCAUAGAUGGAUCCCCAGACCUAGUUGUUUCCAUAGGUGUGCUAUUAUAAAUUCUGGUGAUAAAU